rnacentral:rRNA from 1 species
UGCGAAGGGGGCUAGCGUUGUUCGGAAUUACUGGGCGUAAAGGGCGCGUAGGCGGCUUAUCAAGUCGGGGGUGAAAGCCUGUGGCUCAACCACAGAAUUGCCUUCGAUACUGUUAGGCUUGAGACUGGAAGAGGUGAGUGGAACUGCGAGUGUAGAGGUGAAAUUCGUAGAUAUUCGCAAGAACACCAGUGGCGAAGGCGGCUCACUGGUCCGGUUCUGACGCUGAGGCGCGAAAGCGUGGGGAGCAAACAGG